AAAUCAUUCCAUUUGCCUAAUAUAAUAAAAGAAAAUGUGCUUUUGAUUCCUGGAGAAAUUCAUAGGAGUUUUGAUUAUCUAAGCUUGCGCCCUCAGCUGUGUUCCAGUUACAGACCCAAGACAAAGAGAUUGCCAGGUGUUUUUCAUUUAACAAGGGUGGAGAUCGGCUGCUGGUGUUCAGGAACCAGGGAGACCUCUUACGGAGAUUUGUGAUUAUCAGAUGCUUUUCAACAAACAGACAUAAGAGACUGUCAGUCUGGUAUUUUGAAGUCAUAACCAGCUGAAUCACACAACUGUUGCUGUGUUUAAGAGCAGAGAAAAUGAAAGCCGAGACUGUGAUCCUGCUCUUUGCUCUUGUGGUCUUGGUCAAAGCAACGUCCGCUGAUCCGUCCAAUGAUGAUGAAGAUGAAGACGAUGGCAACCUAGUAAUUGAAGAGGACGAGGCCUUGAAAACAAUAUUUGAUGCUGAUGCUGAAGCCUUACAGGCAAAUACAGAUUCACCAGGAGAAGACAACAAGCCAGAAUAAAGAAACCCUUUCUCCAAGCCGUUUGAGCCAAAAUAUGCUAAAUAAAUAAAGACAAUGAAGGAAUGCA